GCUUGUCUCAAAGAUUAAGCCAUGCAUGUCUAAGUAUAAGCACCCUUAUACUGCGAAACUGCGUACAGCUCAUUAUAUCAGCAAUUAUUUAUUUGAAGGUCACCUAUUACAUGGAUAACCGUGGUAAUUCUAGAGCUAAUACAUGCGAAAAGUCGGCGCAAGUCGAUGUAUUUAUUAGAUACAGAAUCAAUACGUGUUCUGCACGUUCUAUUGAUGAAUCAUAAUAACUGUUCGAAUCGCACGGGCAACCGGCGAUAGUUCAUUCAAAUUUCUGCCCUAUCAGCUUUCGAUGGUAGGAUCUUGGCCUACCAUGGCUAUAACGGGUAACGGGGAAUUAGGGUUCGGUUCCGGAGAGGGAGCUUGAGAAAUGGCUACCACAUCUAAGGAAGGCAGCAGG
rnacentral:rRNA from 1 species